GAGCACAGACAGCAUGAUGGAAUAUGGAAAAUAUGAAGGUGGAGGGGCAGAGACCAGACUAAGAAAAUAAUUAAGACUUGGGAAUCUGUUUUUUUGUGGAACAGAAGUAGAACUACAUUUCAAGCCUCAACUAGUUCAAGUCAAUUCUAAAAACAUGGAGCACUUAUUAUGUGUAAGGUACUAUGCAAUACCCUGCAGGGGAUUCAAAGACAAAUAAGAUAAAAUCCCUGCAGCCAACGAAUUUACCAUCUACCAGAGAGAACUAGAAAAGCACAAAAAUAAUAAAGCACACAACUGACUGCAGAGAGCCAUUUGGCUUAAUGGAAAAAGCAUAGUUUUUAUAUCCAAACACAGCUACUUUCAAACCUGGCUCUGACAUUUAUUAAUAGUGUACCUUUGCAUAAAAUACAUAAACAUUUUGAAUGUAGUUUUCUUCUUCUGAAAAACAGAGACGCCAAUAACUGCCCUAAAAUCCUAUUGCAAGGUUUUGGGAGGUAAUAAGUGUAAAGUGCCAAGCAAACAGAUGUUCCAGGUGAGCUUCCCUGUAAAGCAGAUGUAGGAAGUUUACUAGGGUGGGCUCUCAGGAUUGACAGCUGUAGGGGGAAGGAAAGAACCAUGAUCAGACAGAGGGAGAAGGUGGGUCGUGAAGAAGUUUUAAGAAAGCCCACAACUAAUUGCAGAGUGAAAUCUGAAGCUGGAUGGCCCUGUAGCAUUCUCUCAAAUUGGGGUAAAGGGGAUAGGAGUUUAGAGUCCUAUAACUACAGUCACUAGAUGCAGACUUCCUGUGGGAAGGGCAUGUGACCUUGGAAGAGGCAACUCUCUCCAGUGGCAGCUUUGCUCAGUGAAGGGCAGUUGCUGGAUUGGAGAACUGGGUCUCAACACGGGGAGGUCAGCCUUCAGUCCUCCAGCAGCAGGUGAAUGAGAGCCUACGUCUUAAUAGAUGAGGGUAGAGAAGAGAGGAGGAGGAACCUGGGCAACAUAUCAUGUAGUCCAUUUGGAUAUAAAUUAUAAACAAAAUGCACACAUAUGAAAAUUUUGAAAAGAUAGAAAAGUAGAACUUUAAAAAAAUUCGUAUCAACCACAAUCUCACAAAACCAUUAAUAGCAUUUUAAAUGUCUUUCUAAUAUUUUCUAAGCACAUUUAUUUUCCUCUGAAAUAAUGACAUUAUGCUAGAAAAAUUGUUGUAUGUCCUGUUUUAUUUUUCAUAUUGUGAACAUUUUCCCAUGUAAAUAAAUAUUCUUUUAUAAAAUGAUUUUGGUUUUGUUGUCUUCUAUUAUAGAUAUGCUAAGGUUUGCUGAGCCAAAACUAGAUUAUUGGACACAGGUUUUUACAGGUUUUUUUACUUUUACAAAAACAUGUUAUAAUGAGCAAUAUUGCACAUAUCUUUGACUAUUUCCUUAGGAAAAAUUCAUGGAAAUGGAAAUUGCUGCACCAUGGACUAAUUGCAUAUUUAAGGCUUUGACACAUGUUGCCAAAUUAUGCUCUAGAAAUUCCUAUCAAGAAUUUUUGAAACUUUCUCUUCCCUCACCUUGCCAAGAUUGGGAAUUAUCGUUCUUUUUAAUCUGUGCCAAUUUUAAAGACAGUUUUUAUUAUUAAUGAAUACAAAUGCAAUGAGAGUAGCAGAAAUCAGACAGUGUCUCUGAAGAUUCAAAAGUGGAAGAGAUUACAUCAAACCAGGAAGAAUGAGAAAAGACUUCCAAGAAAAGGAGAGAGAUGAUAUAGUUCUUAAGUAAUGGACAAGAGUUCAACAAAUAAAAGUGGAAGGAAUCCCAGGUAGAGAAAACCUCAGGAACAAAGGCAAUAUUAUGAAGCAGUUAACAGUUUGAUUACAGUGGAGGAGAAAAAUACGACUGAAAGUAAAAUGAGACCAUAAUGUAGCCUCAGAAAUGGUAAACAGAGUUCAAAUUUGCCCAAUAAUCAAUAGUGACCUGACUUUCCUGUUAAUAAGCAUUUGAAAGCUAUGAUUAGGUUGAUCCGUUUGUUCAAGAAACCUUUAUUCACCACCCAUAACCUGCCAAGCACGAAAAUCAUUGUUGGGAGCAUAUAGAAAUCCCUGUCAUCCUCAAAUGCAUGGGAAGAAAGCAUAUAGAAAGAGGUCACAACAACAGUAUGUUCACAGAGUGGGAGAAUAAAAAGCUAGAUAAGAAGCAAUGAGAGUGUAAUAGGAAAAAAAAAAAAAACAGGACAGUGAAAUGCCAUGGACAGCAAUGGAGGAGUAUUGACAUAGGUGCAGGGAUCAAUAACGACAAGUAACGCAGAGAAAUUGAGAAUGAUUAAAACUGAGAAAAAAUUAUGCAAUUAGGCAAUUCAGGUAUCAUCAGCAACAUUUUAAAGAAUACUUUUUCUACAGUGUCAGGAAAGAAAGCCAUAUUGCAAGGGAAUAUAGCAGGUGGUAUGAAAAUGGAGAAAACAGACUCUCCAAACAGGUCAUUCAAAAAAUGGACAGUUUAAGAAAUUAGAGUGUCAGGAUUAGAUCAAGAGAGAGGAUUGACGUUAAAGGAAUGUUUUCUUUUUCAGUUAAAUCUUAAGUAUCUAGGAAUAAAUUUAACAAUGACAAGAGGGUUAAAUCUUUGUGGAUUCAAUGAUACAGCAUUCCUGAUGGGCAUAAAAGAACACUGGAAUAGGUGGAGAGGUUAAGAUGUGUGUAGGUGAGAAAAUCCACACUUUUAAAGAUGUGAAUUUCCUCUAAACUAAUGCAUGAAUUCAACACAAUAUCAAACAAAAGUCUCAACAAGAUUUUUCGUGGAACUUUACAAGUCUAUUCUAAAAGUUACACAGAGAAGUAAGUUACAAGAGAAUAUAAGAAAUUUGUGGCUGCUUUGCCUAUUCUUUUAUUCCUCUGCUUUCUUAAUAAACUUGCUAUCAUUUAAAAAAAAAGAAAUUUGUGAAAAAUAAGUAAAUGGGAGAACUUGUUCUACCAGAUAUCAAAACAUUUAAUAAAGCUAUAGUAAUAGUGUAGCAUUGGUGCCAUAUUAGGUAAAUUGUCCAAUCAAAUAGAAUAAACUCACAUAUAAUGGGUAUUGGUCUAUGAGAGGGGUAGCACUGGAAAUAAAUAAAAGAUGGACUAUUAAUAAGGACAAAAUUAAAAUUAGAUUUUUUACAUCAUAGUAUACAGAAAAAAUAAUUUCGGAAAGUUUAAAAAGUAGAGCAAAAAAUUUUUAAAUCUUUAAAAGCAUCAGGAAAAGAUUUAGUUUAGACAGACAUGGUGGCGCAUGCCUGUAAUCCCAGCUACUUGGGAGGUUGAGGCAUGAGAAUAGCUUGAACCCAGGAGGUAGAAGUUGCAGUGACCCAAGAUCGCACCACUGCACUCCAGCGUGGGUGACAGAGUGAGACUCUGUCUCAAAGAAAAAAGAAGAAAGAAGAAACAAAGAGAGAAAGAGAGGAGAGAAAAAGAGAGAGAGAAAGGAAGGAGAAAGAAGGGAAGGAAAAAGGAAGGAAGAAAGGAAAAAGAAAGAAAGAGAGAGAAAGAAAGAAGAGAAAGAAAGAAAAAGAAAGAAAAAGAAAAGAAGGAAAGAAAGAAAAGAAAAGAGGUCUAAUAUUCGUUAAUGACCCCAGGAUAAGGAAGGCCCUGCUAACUAGGAUAAAAACCCAAAAAUGGUAGUGUAAAAAAAAUAGAUAACCUUGAUUAUAUUAAAAUAAUUAAAAUAUAUAAAAAAUACUUAUUCAUGGUUGAAACACAAGUGAAAGACUAAUAAAAUUGUGUUGUAUAAUAACAAAUGAAGAAUUAGCAACCAGAAUGUAUAAAAAUUCCUAUCACUCACUGAGAAAGAAAUAAACAGAAAUGAGUUCAGUAGUCAAUUCACAUAAAUGAAAGGCAAACAAACAACAAAUAUGAAAAACAUGCUUAGCCACAUGAGUCAUGAUAGAAAAAAAUACUAUACCAGUUUAAAGAGUAAGAUAUUAUUUUUUACCCAAUAGGUUCCCCAAAAUUUAAAAGAUGGAUGAUAUAAAAAACAGACGAGAUAGAGAAUGCUUUUUCAGCAUCAAUUGAAAUGAUCAUAUGGUUUUUGUUUUUCAUUCUGUUGAUAUGAUGUAGCCCAUUGAUUGAGUUGUAUAUGUUGAACCACCCUUGUAAGUUCCACUUCCCAAUCACUUAUUUCUCUAAUGGAACAAGAGUUUUAUUGAACAAAGAUUAUUUUUCUCAGUGUGGUUUUCAUACCAGCAGCAUCAGUAUCACUCGGAACCCGUUAAAAUGCAGAUCCUCAGGCCCCAUCUCAGACCUACAGAAUCAGAAACUCUGGAGGGUACGAUCUACACUUGUGUUUCAACAAGUGAUUCUAAUGUAUGCCAAAGCUUGAGUGCCACUGGAUUGGAAAAUCAGAGGAGCAAUAAGGAACUGAAGUAGAAAAGAAGGAUAACUAUUUGAUUAGUAAAGUUAAGAAAAUGAAUGGAGCAGUAAAACAAAACUUUGUGGAAGAAAAAAAGGAAAUGUUAGAAUUUAGGAUGUUAGCAAUAAAGUAAUCUUGACUGAUGAUUAGAUUUAAAUUAUGGCUAUAAACAUAGUGGCUAAAUUGGAAUGGAGAUGGAAACCGUGGUUUUUGUAACGAUCAUAGGGGUAAGCCAGAGAAGGAAAACCAAGAAAACCAAGAGUAGUGUUGAAGUCACUGGGUUGGCAAAAAGAAUGACGAAUAGGCACAUGCUUCAGUAUUGAAGUUAUGGAGAAAUGUGGAGCGUUCCAUAGAUAUCAGCUAACUGUGACAAUGAAAGAUGCGUAUUCUGUUGUUGGAUGGUAUUUACUUAGAAAAGUCUGGAAUAUUUAACGAUGGGGUGGAGCAGGGUAUUAAUGAAGAGCAUGAGAGCACAUCCCCACAGAUCACAAGUCUAUAGAAAAGAGACAAGAGCCUACCAUUGGAAAGUUUUUGCACUAUUCUAUAAUAGCACUUUAUUUCACACAUUUUGCUUAUUUUUUAUCUAUUGAACAUCAGUAGUGGGGAACUACAUUUAACAUAUAAUGAAACACAUUAACCAAACAUAUGCCUUCUCUCAUACAUUGCUUCUGAUUCCCUGUAUCUUAGAUUUUUCAAUAGUUACAUGUUUAGGAGAAAAUUGUUUUUUUGUUUUUUGUUUUUAAGCUGAAAAGUUGAAUUAUUUUCACUAUUAAGUCUUGGCCUGCAAAACAUAGUGAAAUUACCAGAUGUAUCUUCAGGGAACCCCUUCUUCUUCCAUAUGUUGUAGAUCCUUGAUUUUUGUCUUUCUUUUUGUUUUUUGAGACGGAGUUUUGUUCUUGUUGCCCAGGCUGGAGUACAUUGGCUUCACUGCAACCUCCGUCUCCUGGGUUCCAGCAAUUUUCCUGCCUCAGCCUCCCUGGUAACUGGGAUUAUAGGUGCCUGCCACCAUGCCCGGCUACUUUUUGUAUUUUUAGUAGAGAUGGGAUUUCACCAUGUUGACUAGGCUGGCCUUGAACUCCUGACCUCAAGUAAUCUGCCUGCCUCGGCCUCCCAAAGUGCUGGGAUUACAGGCGUAAGCCACCACACCUGGCCCUGUCUUUCUAUACAUGUGUAAGUGGCCUCAUCAGAAUCCUCUAAUAAGAAUCCUUAUUAUUGACUUGGAGGAGGCUAAUAUUCUUCCCACUCUUCCUAGUUCUUAAAAAGAUGUCUUUUGGAACAAUGCUCUUUAUCCUUAAGAGUUGACAGUUCAUAAUGAAAACUUCAGUAGUCUAUAUGGUAGAACUUGAUCAAUCACCAAAUGAGAAGCAGUGAGUGAGUUGCAGCAAGGGGGUCGCACCCCUCUCCUAUCAAUGGGUUAGUGAACAGGACAUUCCAAUGUAUAAAACUCCACAAAAUGUCACAGUUCUAGAUAAAGUUCUCCAAAAUCAAAAACUGGCUGCAGCUGAUUGUAAAGAACUUUUUUAAAAGGGAGAACCACUACGUGGCUUCUUUGGUCAGAGAAUAUGGAGGCAAGCUUCCAAUGUUCACCAUGAACCAGUGUGUGUAAUGACUGCAACGAUCAACCCUGAAAUUAAAAAGUAAAUAAGCAAAACAUUUUAUAGGGUCAAACUCAAAAGGACUGUACUGUUCUCUGGAUAGAAAUAAGCCUGCAGGCUGCUAUUUUAAAAGAACCACAAAUUCUGCAUCUGUCCCAAAUGGGAAAUAAGAAUUUUAUUGAAUAAUAAAUUAAAAAUGAAUCCACUUCUUUUUAACUUAUAACUUAGUAAGUACUUAUGAUGUGGUCUUUGUAACCAGAGUGCAAUUCUUCAGUUAAUGAAUGAAAGAAGUGUGUGUAAGUUUAUGUGCACAAUUAUCCAAAAUGAAAGUGUAAAGGCAAAAUGAAAGAAAACUUAAUUUUUGAAUAAAUGACAAACCAAUGCCCUUCAGGGUUUCAAAUGUCUGGGUGAUGUUGACAUUUUUCCCAUAAGAUUUUUAGGCUUGUUAGGCAAAGAAGCACAGAGCAGCUUUCAGCCCCUCUCUAUCUCCAUUCACAAGAGGAAAAUGUAAGUCCAUUUAUAAAGGUCAUUUUCAGGUUACGCUGCUUUUGAUCAAAGACCAUGUGAAGACUUACAGAGUAAGACGUCAGUGUUAUAUGGUGAUUUAAGUAGGGAUCAAAAGAAAGCAAAGUUGAAUGUUUAUUCAGUAGGUAAUGUUUCAAAAUGUAUUUCAUAAUGAGGAUUUUUAACAGAAACACAUCAUUA
rnacentral:lncRNA from 10 species